AGGACGAACGCUGGCGGCGCGCUUAACACAUGCAAGUCGAGCGAGAACCAGCCCUUCGGGGCUGGGGACAGCGGCGAACGGGUGAGUAACACGUGGGUAAUCUGCCCUCGGUUCUGGGAUAGCCCGGGGAAACCCGGAUUAAUACCGGACAGCCUCUUGAGCUCUCGGGCUCUCGAGAAAAGGUAACUUCGGCCUCCGACUGAGGAUGAGCCCGCGGCGGAUUAGCUUGUUGGCGGGGUAACGCCCACCAAGGCGACGAUCCGUAGCUGGUCUGAGAGGACGAUCAGCCACACUGGGACUGAGACACGGCCCAGACUCCUACGGGAGGCAGCAGUGGGAAUCUUGCGCAAUGGGCGAAAGCCUGACGCAGCGACGCCGCGUGAGGAAGAAGGCCUUCGGGCGUAAACCUCUUUCAGGAGGACGAAGCCACUCGGUUAAUAGCCCAGAGGUGACGGUACCUCCAGAAGAAGCCCCGGCUAACUACGUGCCAGCAGCCGC
rnacentral:rRNA from 1 species